CAAGAAACUGAAAGGACGUGUUGGGAAUUCCAAAUUUUGUUUUAAGAAACCCUAAAUACCUACAUCCCUGCACGCGUUAUUCUCUAUCUCCCUCUCCCUCUCCUCGAUGCCUCUUUCUUCUUCUGUGCGCAGCACCAAGGCCGGCAGCGAUUCUCGUCGUCCGGCCACGCCAGGUCGUGGGACCAGUCGGAAAAGAACGGCCAUCGACUGACGACCUCAUCCUUUACCUUUUACGACCAGCACAGCCCCUCCCUGCGACGGAUGGAGCUCGGAAAGGCGGAGAGGUUCGCGAUUUUUCUGUAGCCGUUUCCGGCGACUCCGGUAACCAUUGUCGUCAAUGAAGCAGAUUCUAAACACACGUCCAAAGGAUCAAGAGCUCUGGGGACAUUAGCUGGUGCGUUCACUUAAGAAUCGUGGAGUUUUUGCCUCUGGGCUGUCUUCUGGAAUUGCUGAGAAGGUAAAACUAUUGUAUCAUAUUUAUCAAGUGACUCAAAAUUCAGAUUUACUAAGUAAUCAGAAAGGUGGUAAAAUAAAAAAAUUAUGUUGCAGGGAUCCAUAAUUGGCACAUUUGGUGCUUCUAGUUCUGACUAUGGAACAAACAACAAAUUGGUCAAACUCGAGGUUUUAGUAAUAGGGGAGUAUGAUACCUUGCGUUUCGUAAGGGAAGCUCUUUCUAGAGCCACGUUGGACAUGAGUUUGUUGGAAACUAGGCUAGUGUUUCAUUAUUCAUACAAAGAUACCCCUUUCAUGGUAUCUUGUGAUGCACUUGAGCGUCCUAACAUGAUCGUUAUGGAUCACAACUUUGUUGUUCAAUUAGAGAGAGAUAAAAUCAAGAUACUUGUGGACGGAUGACGUGGGAAGAAGUGGGGACCGGAGGUUGAUGUGACGGUAGUUACAAUGGUAUGGGCUGGUCAUGUGGAGGACGAAGAAUUGAACGCUUUGAGGAAACAAUGGAGACAAGGUGGCAAAAUAGCCUCUCCUUUUCUUGGGUUGAUUGAUGAUGUGUUCUUAGGAGAGUAGCACGAUGAUCUAGAAGAGA